rnacentral:rRNA from 1 species
CAGCCGCCGCGGUAAUACGAAGGGGGCUAGCGUUGUUCGGAAUUACUGGGCGUAAAGCGCACGUAGGCGGAUAUUUAAGUCAGGGGUGAAAUCCCGCAGCUCAACUGCGGAACUGCCUUUGAUACUGGGUAUCUUGAGUAUGGAAGAGGUUAGUGGAAUUGCGAGUGUAGAGGUGAAAUUCGUAGAUAUUCGCAGGAACACCAGUGGCGAAGGCGGCUAACUGGUCCAUAACUGACGCUGAGGUGCGAAAGCGUGGGGAGCAAACAGGAUUAGAUACCCCGGUAGUCCCUGUCUCUUAUAC